CUUUAGUCUCGAGACUUUCCUCUCUUUCACCUCUUUUUCUUCUCCUCUUCUCUUUUAUGCACCUUAUUGUCGUCACGAUCUCACCUUCUCGUUCCAAACAAAUUUUUUCCCCUGCUAGCUUAGAAAGUGAAAGAAACUGGAGGUAGGAAGACGAGGCUUUUGUGUCUCAUCUAUGGUGGCGUCCCCCCGAAGUGGAAUCUAGGGCGCGGCGGAAAGAAGGGGAAGUGAAAGGCAGAGGACUUUUGAGUUUUAUUGGCCUAGAGGCUAGGGCACGGUGUGAUUUGGUUCGAUCUCGGUGUGGAAGCUCGGGGAAUCAACUUAUUGCGUAGUGGUUUUGUGGUUGUGGGAUUUUGGAAACCUUAGAUUUGGGUCAGGGUUGUGUGGUUGGCUGAUUAAGCUAGGGGCGGGGCUGCCCUUGCGAUUGACUGGUUUUUCAUGCUGUCAAAACCACUGCCUUGGGAUCGGAAGGACUUCUUCAAGGAGAGGAGAGGAAGCACGAGAGGUCGGAGUCUUUAAGUUUGCUGCAAGAUAGAGGACUCGCAUCAGGGUUCUUGGGAGUUUGCUCGCCGGAAUCGGCAGACUUGCGCCGUCCUACAGAAGCACGAGAGGUCUGAGUCUUUAGGUUAGCUGCAAGAUAGAGGGACUCGCAUCAGGUUCUUGGGAGUUUGCUCGCCGGGAUCGGUAGACUUUUGCCCCCCUACAGGGACACUUUUCUUUGCCAUGAGCAAUGUUGGUGAGGUGGGUAAAUAUCAAUACACUUGAAUAUGAUUGUCACAUCAUUUGGGGGCUUUUGACUCUGGAAGAUUUCUGAUUAAUGUCAUUAAAUUUUUUCUUUUUCUUUUGAAACAAUAUGCCCCUUGAAGACUUGCUUUGAAUAAAUAAGAUUUUAACUUGUUUAGCAUUGUCUAUUGUUGUCUUAUUGCAUUAGAGAGAAGAAAAAAUUACACCUUGAUUCCAUUAUUCUCCUUUUCAAUUCUAUCUAGUCAACAUCCUAAACAAUUUAUCAUCUUUGAAAACUUGAAGACCUUCUACUUCUAGCUUUAUCUUGCAGAAGGACAAUGAUUCCUGAUCUAUCUGAAUGAGGUUUAACACCAAGAACCAGAUUAGGCCUUGGACAACUCAGAUGGAAAUUAAAUCUUGUCUGCAUCACUGCUCCAUCUCCAAAUUGACUUGAGCUUUUCUUAUUUACUGACAUUCUAUUUUUGUACAGAUUUUUAUACACUGGAUCUGUAGAAAUUAUAUUGGAUAUUGCACAAGAUCUCCUCAUAGCUACUGAUCAGUAUCUCUUGCAGGGAUAAAGUGUCCCUGUGAGUGUACCAUUGCCCAUGAUAUAUCACUGGAAAAUGUUUCAAGAAUGCAUGAGCUUUCAGAAGCCUUCCAUGCUAUUUCCUUAAGACACACAUGCCUCUUGUCUAUCUUGGAGCAGUUUAGUAAACUGAGUUCUAGGGCCGGAGAUCUCAGCUUCAACAAGUUGAACGGAGAGAUUCCAAAUCUUGAUGGCCUAACAAACGUGGAGGUCAUGUGUCUGACAGGCAACCGACUUAAUGGAAAUAUUCCAGAUGGAAUCAAGGGAAGGUAGAGCCGCACGAACUUGUUCAGAAGCUUUUCUGAGGAGGGGAACUUAGAACUUGGUGGGUGCCUGGAAAACUAUCCUUGUCAAAAAAAUCGUUAUUCAUUGCAUAUAAAUUGUGGUGGAGAGAAAUCUACUGUUGGAAAUGUUGUUUAUGAAGGGGAUCAAUAUGAAGGAGGUGCAGCAAAAUUUCAUCCUAUGAUUGAUUAUUGGGGAUUUAGUAGCACUGGACACUUCUGGGAUCAUAACAGAACCAUAAAUGAUUACAUAGCACAAAAUGUAUCCGUACUUGGAAUGAACCACUCUGGGUUGUACACCAGAGCACGACUUUCUCCUCUAUCUUUUACUUACUAUGGGCGCUGCUUAGCAGAUGGGAACUAUACAGUAAAAAUUCACUUUGUAGAGAUAAUUAUUAGAGGCAAUAAAUCCUUUCAUAGCCUUGGCAGACAGAUUUUUAAUGUUUAUAUUCAGGUACUCAUAAUAGGAAAAAUUAGAUUGGUGCUUGGUUUGUUAUAGAAGGUUAGUUGAUUUAAUUAGUUAAUUGUAGGGAAAGUUGGAAUCGGAGGAUUUUGAUAUUGUACAAGCAGCACAAGGGGUUGAAAAGGUAGUUUGUAAAAGAAUUUAAAGCAGUUGUGAAGAAUAAAACUUUAGAGGUCCGCUUUCAUUGGGUUGGCAAGGGGACAACAGCUAUACAAAGCAGAGGAACUUAUGGUCCUCUCAUAUCAGCUAUUUCUGUGGAAUCUGGUUUUAAUGCAUGACUUCAUUAUAAGAUAUAAUGUCAUGGCACCUACGCUUGGACUAGUCUCUUAUUUACCCAUAUUGGAGACAUACUUCAUUAAUAACCUAGCAAGGUAUUAAGUUGUUCUUGCAUUACCUCAUUUGCAGUUUAUUUUUUUAUUAAUUGGUGUAUUUUUUUCACACUAACGAAAACCAGUGUAAGGAGUUUGCAAUUGGAACUCAAGUCUCGCAUUGAGGAGUUUGAGAAGCUUGACAAAUUCCAUAUGGAACAAAUGGAAGAAGAGGUUACCGCAAGAAAUGGCCACAUACAUCAACAGAAAGUUGGUAGUUUGGAAUGUUUUAUGGUAGCUAAGAGCAGUGCAGAAGAAUUUUCAAAAACUGAUAUUGUUGAAGGUAUGUGCAUUAGUCCUUUGCUUCACUUGAUUUGAUAUGCACUUUGAUUCUAUAGUUGCUUGAUC